rnacentral:misc_RNA from 1 species
GUUACUCCAAUAGCUGAAAAAAAAGGCAUGAAACUGUAAGAAUUAUUGUAUAUUAAAAAGGAAAAUAGAAAGUCCAAUAUGCAUGCAUUUUAAGCUGUACAUGUGCCAUAGCAGGCAUACUAAGUACUAAAAAACUUACAACACAUGCUGGAAUUUGAAAUUUAAUGAACAGUUUAAAUUUCGGAGACAACGUAAUAAGAAUCCAAGUCAUGAAUCCAUUCUAAGGGUCUGACUUGGAAAACACAGGUCAGAGUCAGACAAGAAUUAUCUGAUGUGAAAAAUUUUACUUUCUCUGGCAGAGAUCUUGAGAUAUACAAGACCUUAAUUUUGGCAGAAACUCAAGUGCUGGAUCGACAUUCAUAAAAAAAUUUUCGUUGUUGUUGUCUUUGUCUUUUAUUUUUCUCUGGUUCUGAUUGUAUAGAAUGAUAUAACACAAGGGCUCUAAACCAACCCUGCUAUGCUUCUGGAAAAAUCUCAAACUGUCCCUUAUGGUACAAUUAAUUCUUUCAAAGAUGCACAUAUUUCUGGAAGCAAUAAACUCUUCCAAAUGCCAUAAAUAUUAAUGAUGUUAAUCUGUCCCAUCACAAGCUUUAUCCAGAGUAAAAUGUUAAUUGAUAAGAGAAUUCAACUUAUCGUGACAUUUUAAGUCAAGUUUAGUACAUCAGGCCCCAACAAAGCAUCUACUAUUCCCUGAACUGCAGUAUCUGAUUGCAGCAAAGGAAAAAAAAUCUGACAAUAACAUGUACAAGUAUGUCAGAGUUGACAAGAUAGGUACUGCAUAAA